GCCCCUGGAUAGCUAGUAUAGUCAGUAGCGCAUGGGACUCUUAAUCUCAGGGUUGUGGGUUCAAGCCCCACGUUGGGCA